CUUCUUUCCUGCUCCGAGUCCGUUACCUUUCCAGUGUCGAUAAAACAUGCUUUAUAUCGUGUUCGUUUUGAGCCAUGUGUAAUGCCUAGUAUGCUGUUUUGUUUUUUGCUCUGAGGUUUGAGUUGAAUGUUUUCUGUUUGAAUGAUUGAACGAUUGAAGCUCUGGGUGUUCAAAUUUUGGCUCUGUGUUAUGUUCAAUUAACUUCUCUUCUUCUAUUGGAUAUUCUCAUGUUCAAAAUUUGGUUGAUACUUACCAAUGCCCUGUAUCCAAGCUUAGUUUACCUAUUUUCUUCUACUGAUCGUAAGUUUAGUUUUGGUCUUGGAAGAAUUGGUACUGCUCUGACUUUUCACCUUGGCUUUCUCUUGUUUUUUGUAUAGCAUUCUUUGAAUGAAUUCAUCUCCUCAUUCCCCCCCCCCACCCAAAAAAAAAGGUGCAUUGCUCUGAGUCAUAGUAUUAUCUUUUUUGAUUGAUAUGGAUUGAAUGACUGAAGCUGUGGCUCUUUAUUCUCUCUCUCUCUCUCUCUCGGUACUAAGUUCUAAUGGACAGCAAUAACAUAGUUGAUUCUUCACCUCUUCAAGGAUCUCAAUCUCAACAACAAAUUAAUGAGCAUGUUACAACUCCCUCAAUCACUUCAAGUUAACCAAUGAGACCAACUAAACAACUUUGGAGCUGCAGUGGGCAGUGGCAAUAUAUUUGUUACUCCGUUUGAUUGUUUAGUGCCAACUGAACUACUCCAGAAUUUAUGAAAGUGACUAGUCACUGUACAUGAGAAGAAAAGAAAUUUUAGUGAAGCUGUUGGAAACUUGUUGUAGUAAGAUUGUAAUUGAGCAGUUGCAUUCACAGUGUUUGAAAUCAGGUCUCACCCAUGAUAGGUUUAUUGCAACCAAUCUUAGUGUGCUGUAUGCUAAAUAUGCAUCAACAAGGCACGCGCAUAUACUGUUUGAAGAAACACCCUACAAAACUGCCUAUCUAUGGAAUUCCAUGCUUAGGAGCUUAUGUAGGAAGAGAGCAUGGGAAGAGACCUUACGCCUAUUUCGCCAAAUGAUUGUUCAAGCUGUAUCUGCUAAGGACAGACCUGACAGCUUCACAUUGUCAGUUGCUCUGAAAUCAUGUACAGGUCUUCUGGAGCUUGAAUUGGGAAAAACAAUUCAUGGAUUUGUCAAGAAGAAGAAUGAUAUGGACAUGUUUGUGGGGUCGGCUUUAAUUGAACUCUAUGCAAAAUGUGGACAAAUGAAUGAUGCUGCCAAAAUUUUUAUGGAAUAUUCGAAACCAGAUGUUGUUUUAUGGACUUCAAUGGUUACUGGGUAUGAGCAGAAUGGCAAUCCGAGAGAAGCUUUGUCUGUUUUUUCCUGUAUGACUGUGCAAGAGCAUGUGAAUCCUGAUCCAGUUACACUUGUUAGUGCUGUUUCUGCUUGUGCUAAAUUAUCUGAUUUUAGGCUUGGAAGUAGUAUACAUGGGUUUGUAAUAAGAAGGGGCUUUACCACUAAAUUAGCAUUGGUCAACUCAUUGCUAAAUUUAUAUGCAAAAAGUGGUGCCAUCAAGAUUGCAGCUAAUCUGUUCAAGGAAAUGCCUAGUAAGGAUGUUAUAUCUUGGAGCUCAAUGGUUGCAUGUUAUGCCAAUAAUGGAGCUGGAAACAAUGCAUUAGAUCUUUUUAAUAAAAUGAUUGAUGAAGGUGUGGAACCAAACUCAGUUACUGUAGUUAGUGCAUUGCAAGCAUGUGCAUCCACUUCCAAUUUGGAAGUAGGCAUGAAAAUUCAUAAGUUGGCAGUUGAUAAAGAUUUUGAGUUGGAUGUAGCAGUCUCUACAGCUCUGAUCAACAUGUAUAUGAAGUGCUAUUCACCUGAAAAUGCAAUUAAUGUAUUCAAAAGAAUGCCCAAGAAAGAUGUGGUCACAUGGGCUGCUUUGAUAAGUGGGUAUGCUCAAAUCGGGAUGGCACACAUAUCAAUGGAGGUUUUCUGCAACAUGUUAUCUCAUGGAACCCGACCAGAUGCAGUUGCCAUAGUGAAGAUUCUUACUGCUUCUGCUGGAUUGGGGAUUCUUCCACAAGCUGCUUGUCUACAUGGUUUUGUUUUUAAAAGUGGGUUCAACAGUAACAUAUUUAUUGGAUCAUCUCUCAUUGAGUUGUUUGCAAAAUGUGGUAGCAUAUACAAUGCAAACAAGGUUUUCAAAGUAAUGAUAGAUAGAGAUGUUGUUGCCUGGAGCUCUAUGAUUGCCGCAUAUGGGCUCCAUGGGCAAGGAGAAGAGGCUUUGAAAUUAUUCAAUCAGAUGGUUAACGAUUCAGAUGUUAAGCCUAGCAAUAUAACCUUCCUUUCAAUUCUAUCUGCUUGUAGUCAUGCAGGUUUGGUUGAGGAGGGCAUAAAGAUGUUUGAUAUGAUGUUAAAUGAGUACCAACUGAAGCCACAGUCAGAGCAUUAUGGGAUAAUGGUUGAUCUUCUUGGUCGCAUGGGAGAUUUGGAUAGGGCAAUGGACAUAAUUAAUCAUAUGCCCAUGCCAGUUGGGCCUCAUGUUUGGGGAGCCUUACUUGGUGCGAGUCGGAUACACCAAAAUGUAAAGAUGGGGGAGAUUGCGGCAAUGAAUCUUUUCUCAUUAGAUCCUAAUCAUGCAGGAUAUUAUAUACUUUUAUCAAAUAUCUAUGCUGUUGAGAAAAAUUGGCAUAAUGCUUCAAAGCUGAGAACAUUGAUAAAGGAGAAUAGGUUGAAAAAGAUAGUGGGUCAAAGCAUGGUGGAAGUAAAAAAUGAGGUUCAUAGUUUUGUAACUAGUGAUAAAAUGCAUGCUGAGUCUGAUCAGAUUUAUGAUUUGCUGAGAAAAUUAGAUGUGAAAUUGAGGGAAGAAGGGAAUGCUCCUCAAUUACAGGUAUAGGAAAUUUUAUAUGUUCUACUCAUGAUUGUGUGUGAUCCAAUGUCUGAUUUCCAAGUUCUACUCGUGUUUUCUGACUCAAAAGUGUUUUAGUGCUGUUGCGAUGUUGCCCAUGUUUAACCUAACACUGUUACACGCCCAAAGCAAGGCCAUUUUACAUUAGGGAAGCUUUCCAUUACUUCUGCUUUGUAUAUGUAUUUAUGAAGUCGUGUUAUCGCUUGGUGUAGAAAUAAUAUUUGAUCUGUUACCCUUAGGAGUAGUUGUUUCUGUAGUUUUUCCUAUGUUUGAUCUCCCUAUGGACUAAACAACAGAUCUGUUAAGGACUAAUAGUGGAAGGAUGGAAGUGGUGCCGUGAUAAGCAUGUGUAGAUGGUUGCUAUCGAUGGCAGAGGUGCAUUACCCACCUUCUCUUCUACAUUCAGUCUUUGCAGCACUUCUCUCUCCUGCUCCAGAACUUGUUCCACUUUCAGUCUCUGCCCCAAUUUCAGUCUUCCGCUCCACUUGUGAACUUUGUUGCUGAGGUAAUUUGAAGAACCAUUAGAAAUUUUAAAAAUAAAAAUGAACAGCCAGAUUAUGUUGAAAUGGAGGUUAUGACUCCUUCAUUUUUAGCAAAACGGUGUGCAUAAGAGAUGAGCAUGUGGUGCUCGUCUAUCUAAUGAGCAUGGAAUGCAUACUCUCAUUUUCAGUCCCACCUCUGUCAAAAACUCAAGAAUGCUUCUUCGAAGGACAAUACUCUCCUUCAACAAUCCUCUUCAUGGCCACCACCUUCGCUCCCUAGCCACUGCCUUGUGGGAACCCCACCUUGCCAACCCUAUCACACCAGUGAA